rnacentral:rRNA from 1 species
UACGUAGGGUGCGAGCGUUAUUCGGAAUUACUGGGCGUAAAGUGUGCGCAGGCGGCUCCGCAAGUCGAGUGUGAAAUCCCCGAGCUUAACUCGGGAAUUGCGCUCGAAACUACGGAGCUGGAGUGUGGCAGAGGAAGGUGGAAUUCCACGUGUAGCGGUGAAAUGCGUAGAUAUGUGGAGGAACACCGAUGGCGAAGGCAGCCUUCUGGGCCAACACUGACGCUCAUGCACGAAAGCGUGGGGAGCAAACAGG